ACGGGGAGCAGCAGGCGCGAAACCUUUACACUGCACGCCAGUCCGCUAAGGGGAUCCCGAGUGCGAGGGCAUACAGUCCUCGCUUUUCGUGACCGUAAGGUGGUCACAGAAUAAGAGCUGGGCAAGACCGGUGCCAGCCGCCGCGGUAAUACCGGCAGCUCGAGUGAUAGCCACUAUUAUUGGGCCUAAAGCGUCCGUAGCCGGCCGAACAGGUCCGUCGGGAAAUCCACCCGCUCAACGCGUGGACGUCCGGCGGAAACCAGUCGGCUUGGGGCCGGGAGACCAGAGAGGUACGUCCGGGGUAGGAGUGAAAUCCUGUAAUCCUGGACGGACCACCGGUAGCGAAAGCGUCUCUGGAGAACGGACCCGACGGUGGGGGACGAAAGCUUGGGUCUCGAACCGGAUUAGAUACCCGGGUAGUCCAAGCUGUAAACGAUGCUCGCUAGGUGUGGCGUUGGCUACGAGCCAGCGCUGUGCCGUAGGGAAGCCGAGAAGCGAGCCGCCUGGGAAGUACGUCCGCAAGGAUGAAACUUAAAGGAAUUGGCGGGGGAGCAC
rnacentral:rRNA from 1 species